rnacentral:rRNA from 1 species
UACGUGGGGUGCGAGCGUUAAUCGGAAUUACUGGGCGUAAAGUGUGCGCAGGCGGCCGCGCAAGUCGAGUGUGAAAGCCCCGGGCUUAACUUGGGAAUUGCGCUCGAAACUACGUGGCUGGAGUGUGGCAGAGGAAGGUGGAAUUCCACGUGUAGCGGUGAAAUGCGCAGAUAUCAGGAGGAACACCGGUGGCGAAGGCGGUGGUCUGGGCCGGCACUGACGCUGAGGAGCGAAAGCGUGGGGAGCGAACAGG